rnacentral:rRNA from 1 species
UACGGAGGGUGCAAGCGUUAUCCGGAUUCACUGGGUUUAAAGGGAGCGCAGGCGGAUUGGUAAGUCAGUGGUGAAAGGCUUAAGCUUAACUUGGGAACUGCCAUUGAUACUAUCAGUCUUGAAUGUUGUUGAGGUUUGCGGAAUGGGUCAUGUAGCGGUGAAAUGCAUAGAUAUGACCCGGAAACACCUAUUGCGAAGGCAGCAGGCUAAACAAAUAUUGACGCUGAGGCUCGAAAGCGUGGGGAUCAAACAGG